rnacentral:sRNA from 1 species
UUCACGACGAUUAAUGACGGCAACCGUGCC